CCUACGUGGUCUGCAGUGGGGAAUAUUGGACAAUGGGCGAAAGCCUGAUCCAGCCAUGCCGCGUGUGUGAAGAAGGCCUUCGGGUUGUAAAGCACUUUCAGUGGGGAAGAAAGCCUUGGGGCUAAUACCCUCGAGGAAGGACAUCACCCACAGAAGAAGCACCGGCUAACUCCGUGCCAGCAGCCGCGGUAAUACGGAGGGUGCGAGCGUUAAUCGGAAUUACUGGGCGUAAAGCGCGCGUAGGCGGUCUGAUAAGCCGGUUGUGAAAGCCCCGGGCUCAACCUGGGAACGGCAUCCGGAACUGUCAGGCUAGAGUGCAGGAGAGGAAGGUAGAAUUCCCGGUGUAGCGGUGAAAUGCGUAGAGAUCGGGAGGAAUACCAGUGGCGAAGGCGGCCUUCUGGACUGACACUGACGCUGAGGUGCGAAAGCGUGGGUAGCAAACAGGAUUAGAUACCCUGGUAGUC
rnacentral:rRNA from 1 species